rnacentral:rRNA from 1 species
UGGCUCAGGACGAACGCUGGCGGCGUGCCUAAUACAUGCAAGUCGAGCGAAUCAAAGGGAGCUUGCUCCCUGAGGUUAGCGGCGGACGGGUGAGUAACACGUGGGCAACCUGCCUAUAAGACUGGGAUAACUUCGGGAAACCGGAGCUAAUACCGGAUAAUUCUUUUCUACACAUGUAGGAAAGCUGAAAGACGGUUUACGCUGUCACUUAUAGAUGGGCCCGCGGCGCAUUAGCUAGUUGGUGAGGUAACGGCUCACCAAGGCAACGAUGCGUAGCCGACCUGAGAGGGUGAUCGGCCACACUGGGACUGAGACACGGCCCAGACUCCUACGGGAGGCAGCAGUAGGGAAUCUUCCGCAAUGGACGAAAGUCUGACGGAGCAACGCCGCGUGAGUGAU